UCCAGCAGUAGUCAGCUGUCCGGACAGAACCAUUCCUGCGAUGGUGUUACACUGCUGGUAGAACAAUGUCUGUCUUCUUCAUCUGGUUGCCUUCACCGCUGUUCUGGUGGUGUCUGGCACUGGUACAAGGCAGAGCCGUGCUUCCUUGAGAGUGUGCUGAGCAUUCACUUUGGCUGCUUAGUGCUAGUCUGGGAGCAGACAGA
ensembl:snoRNA SNORA74 Small nucleolar RNA SNORA74